AUAACGACUCUCGGCAACGGAUAUCUC
rnacentral:ncRNA from 4 species